rnacentral:tRNA from 1 species
UCCCUGGUGGCUCAGAUGGUAAAGAGUCUGCCUUCAAUGCAGGAGACCUGAGUUCAAUCCUUAGGUAGGGAA